ACCCCUCUCCUGAUCGAUGUCUUUCAACAAGUCAGAUAUCAUACACGCUAUGUAAGCUCUUUGUGGACUAGGACUUCAGUAGUCACAUAAACCAAGAAGAUGUCAAGAAAAUUCAAGAGAAACAGCUGAUCUUUACUUGGGGUUAAUCGGAAUAAUUUCAUUGAUGACAGCUGUAUGAUAAUUACAACCCCAAUUCCAAAAAGUUGGGACAGUAUGGAAAAUGCUAAUACAAACAAAGAGGAGUGAUUUGUAAAUGUAAUUUGACUUGUAUUUAAACAAAAAAAAAAACAUAUAAAAAGAAGGUAUUCGAUGUUUUACCUAAUCAAAUGCAUAGUUUUUUAAGAUAAAGGUUUAUUUUGAAAUUGACGCAUGCAACACAUUCCAAUAAAGUUGGGACAGGGGCACUAGGACUAAUAGUGAUGUGACAAGUAGAAUAAGAAGGUGAUGUGAAACAGGUGAGGUAAUCAUCUAAACAUACUAUAUAAGGAGCCUCCAAAAAAGGUCUAGUCCAUCAAGAGCAAGGAUGGGUCGAUGCUCGCCGAUCUGCCAACAGAUGCAUCAGCGAAUAAUCCGACACUUUGAGAACAACAUUCCCCAAAGACACAUCGGUAGGAUUUGGGGCAUUAAAUUCACAAAGUAAAACAUCAAAUAAUGUGUUUAUAAAGUGUUUUCAAUAUAGUACAGGCCGAACUGAAUUUUCAAAUGACUCCUUGUUUUUUGUGUGUUUUUAUUUUUUGCAUUUUCCACACUGUCCCAACUUUUUCGGAAUUGGGGUUGUACUUUUGAACAUGAGAUUGAAUGUGAUUAGUUAAUUCUGAACACAGCCACACCCCCAUUUAUAAAAAUGGGAAAUCCUGCACUGAUUUGGCUUCAGCUCUCGGUACAAAUCCAUCACACAUCAGAGAGCUGGAUCUGAGUGAGUGUGAACUAGGAGACUCAGGAGUGGAGAAGCUCUGUGAUCUACUGAAGAAACACGAGUGUAAACUGGAGACACUGCGGUUAAAGAAGUGCAGUAUAAAAGAUAGAGGCUGUGCUUCUCUGACUGCAGCUCUGAGGUCCAACUCCUCACAUCUGAAAGAGCUGGAUCUGAGAGAGAAUCAACUAAAAGAUUCAGUCACAAAGCAGCUCUCUGAGAUACUGAACGGUUCAGGAGGAAAGCUGAUAUAUGACAAGCCCACAGUGACAACAAAACGGUGGAAUUUAUUUUCUGUUAGCCGAUUUCGGAUCCUGACUCCUCUACAGUGAAGAAUAAACAAAGAGAUGGAAAAGUGCAGGACACACAACAGGGAGAAAGCAGCAUAGACAGUUUAGCAAGCAAUGUGGACUAGGGUAGUUAUGUGUAGUUGUUCUCUCUCUCUUUCAACUUUUCUUGUCUCCUCGACAACCCAUAUCACAGGAAUGUGUCGUUCUCUCCUAGUUUCUCUUAUCUUGCACGUGCUAUGGGAUGUACUAAUGAUCCACCAUUUUACCUUCAAUAGUGAGCACACUGUUGCUGAGGCACAUGAUUGUCUGAUAUAUAUAUACUCUUAUCUUUUUUUGAAUAAACUGAGACUCUGCAAUUUGA